AGUGAACGCUGGCGGCGUGCCUAAUACAUGCAAGUCGAACGGAGAUUAAAUAGCUUGCUAUUUAAUCUUAGUGGCGCACGGGUGAGUAAUAUAUAGUUAAUCUGCCCCAUAGUGGAGGACAACAGUUAGAAAUGACUGCUAAUACUCCAUACUCCUUCUUAUCAUAAGUUAAGUCGGGAAAGUUUUUCGCUAUGGGAUGAGACUAUAUCGUAUCAGCUAGUUGGUGAGGUAAUGGCUCACCAAGGCUAUGACGCGUAACUGGUCUAAGAGGAUGAUCAGUCACAUUGGAACUGAGACACGGUCCAAACUCCUACGGGAGGCAGCAGUAGGGAAUAUUGCGCAAUGGGGGAAACCCUGACGCAGCAACGCCGCGUGGAGGAUGACACUUUUCGGAGCGUAAACUCCUUUUGUUAGGGAAGAAUAAUGACGGUACCUAACGAAUAAGCACCGGCUAACUCCGUGCCAGCAGCCGCGGUAAUACGGAGGAUGCGAGCGUUAUCCGGAAUCAUUGGGUUUAAAGGGUCCGUAGGCGGGCUAAUAAGUCAGAGGUGAAAGCGCUCAGCUCAACUGAGCAACUGCCUUUGAAACUGUUAGUCUUGAAUGGUUGUGAAGUAGUUGGAAUGUGUAGUGUAGCGGUGAAAUGCUUAGAUAUUACACAGAACACCGAUAGCGAAGGCAUAUUACUAACAAUUAAUUGACGCUGAUGGACGAAAGCGUGGGGAGCGAACAGG
rnacentral:rRNA from 1 species